CAAAACGUAGCUUAACCUUAAAGCAUUUGGCUUACACCCAAAAGAUGUCACUUUAAUGAUCGUUUUGA
rnacentral:tRNA from 1 species